rnacentral:rRNA from 1 species
AGAGCGAACGCUGGCGGCAGGCCUAACACAUGCAAGUCGAGCGCCCCGCAAGGGGAGCGGCAGACGGGAGAGUAACACGUGGGAACGUACCCUUCAGUUCGGAACAACCCAGGGAAACUUGGGCUAAUACCGAAUACGUCCGUAAGGAGAAAGAUUUAUCGCUGAAGGAUCGGCCCGCGUCUGAUUAGCUAGUUGGUGAGGUAACGGCUCACCAAGGCUACGAUCAGUAGCUGGUCUGAGAGGAUGAUCAGCCUCACUGGGACUGAGACACGGCCCAGACUCCUACGGGAGGCAGCAGUGGGGAAUAUUGGACAAUGGGCGCAAGCCUGAUCCAGCCAUGCCGCGUGGAUGAUGAAGGCCUUAGGGUUGUAAAGUCCUUUCGACGGGGAAGAUAAUGACGGUACCCGUAGAACGAAGCCCCGGCUAACUUCGUGCCAGCAGCCGC